rnacentral:rRNA from 1 species
CGUAAGCGCACGCAGGCGGUUUGUUAAGUCAGAUGUGAAAUCCCCGAGCUUAACUUGGGAACUGCAUUUGAAACUGGCAAGCUAGAGUCUUGUAGAGGGGGGUAGAAUUCCAGGUGUAGCGGUGAAAUGCGUAGAGAUCUGGAGGAAUACCGGUGGCGAAGGCGGCCCCCUGGACAAAGACUGACGCUCAGGUGCGAAAGCGUGGGGAGCAAACAGGAUUAGAUACCCCUGGUAGUCCAA